CUCCAGAGGAAAGACUACCAGAAGCCUGUGUGUGGGGAGCCUCAAACUGAAUUUGCAGUUGCUUUACUGAAAUCAGGACACGUGGGGAGGACAAGUGAAGAUUGCCUCUGGUGGGGCUUAAAGUAGAACUCUGCAUAUUGUCUUGCCUCUGUAAGCUUUUCCUGCCAGACUGCAACUCAGCUGACUAUGGGAGGCACUGAGCAAUUCCACUAUACUCUGCUUUUACAUUUAUGUAUAAUAUUCCUCUUUCCCACUAUGUAUAAUAUUCCCUCUUUAUCCAGUAUAUGUGAUCUGUAACCACGUGCAUCAGGACUCUCAGCUCUUCAAAAGCAAGACACACGGUUUCACUUGGGGAAAGCACGGUCAUUGGGAAAAUAAAAAAGCCCCCAACAUCCUGCAUGCUGUGUACAGCCAAGGGUGUGAACAUGUAAAGUAUUUAAUGUGACGGAGCACCCUGCUAUUUAUAUUUAGUAAUGUCCCAAUUUCUCCUCUCUGCCCAGCAGGAAAUACUGGACAAUACCCUUCAUAGACUCCAUUGCACUAGACCAAGCUACUAGGUUCCUACUGGUUUCUUCCAGCAGAUGUAGCUUUACCUCCAGCCUGCCUGCUUUGGUGGAAGGGGAGAACAGGUUGUAAAUCCCCCUGGAGAUUGCUGCGAGAGCACAAUGAGAUGUAUUCGUGAUUGAUUAUGUCGCUAGUAGUUGUAUGCUUAACAAAGUGUUGCUGCUGUAAUAUUCCACAUGGCAUACGUGGCUAACCCUUCCACACCAUAGUCAGUGUUGUGCUUUGCCAUAUUAAUCCGCCUCAUACCCACACAUAGCAUUGCGCUGGUUGUGACAAUACUUGUGGGCCUGAUACAAAGCCAAUGAAACAAGGUGAAAUGGAGAAAUAGCCCCCAAAUUUGAUAAUAUUUGAGAUGAGUAUUGCAAGUGUGCAUGCUGGUAGAGGAUGGAGUAAAUAAAACAUACAGAGUUGGGCUCUGAGACGUGCAAACAGACAAAUGAGUAAAUUGGAUGUUUGGUUCCUGUAGGCCUUCAAGUACGUUAUGUCCCUGUUGGCCCAUCUUGAAGAGACAGUACCUAAACAAGAAGAGUGCACUGUGCCUUGGUGAGAGUAAGGACUUCAAAAGAGAGCACAUCAGAACUUCAUUAGUCUUGGCUCUUGUUCAGCACCCCAAAAGUAGACAUAAGUGCUCCUGACUGUGCACGAUGUGCCCGGUUCCUCUGCAUUCUGCGAAUGUUGAAGUAAGAGAGUCCUUAGAACAGAUUUCUGUUGCAGCCUGAAGAAAGAAAGAGUGACCCUAGGCAACUUGGCAGGAAGGGCAAGGUUAUUCUGUAGAAUUUACUUCCCUCUUCCCAGAUCCCAUAUGCAAGAACAGGUAUUUGUCAUGAGGAUAUCAGUACCUGCCCUCAUCACACACAGAGGCACUCUAGACCACUGCGGAAAGGUAUAUAGGCCUGCUACUUAUUGUGAAUGGAGAUGAAAGGACUGUUGUGAAUGUGAUGGGGAAAAUACCACAAUUCUCUUGUUACUGUUUUUGCUUGGUUGAUGUUUUGUGUUUUUGUGUGGUUUUUUUCUCGCCAGAGCAGGAAAAUAAAACUUACAGGUGACAUUACU
ensembl:lncRNA